UCUCAUCUCAUAUUAGGCUUAAUAGUUUCUGGUGAUAUCAUUGCUAAAAUCAGACCCUUAAAUAAAAGUCAGAGCGUCAGAGCAAUUCCUUCUCAGGGGUGCAGACAGGACAUUUGAGAACAUUUAAUGAUUUUCAUGUUCCAACUCCCUUCUCCUUUUUGAGAGGAACAUGAAUUAGACUUUCCAGGGUCAUUAAAAGGAGAAGCGUUCCCAUCUGGCCACUUCUACCAAAAGUGGGACAAAUGUGGGACUUGAACUUGCUUGCUUGCCCACUGCCUCAGUGAGGGGACUCUCUAGGUCUGAAGAAGAGCCAUCUCCCUUGUUUCAGGAAUGUGUCCCUUCUCUUCUGGUUAUGGACACUGUGUGCUGAGAAUUAGUUCCACUAAACAAGGAGAGAAAAGGCAAUUCACUGGGGGCUAGGAUGAAGGCUCUGUGAAGACAGGGAAGAUGUCUGCAUUGCUUGGUGUUAAAUCUUGGACACCAAGCAAGGCGCUUGGCACAUGGUUACACAAGCUGUGGGCUCUGUCUUGUUUCCCUUGGUGAGCUGCUGCGCUAAUGCACAUGGUAGGUGCCUUUGAAGUCUGGUUCCCGUGCUGACAGCCUGGGUGAGCAAGUCAACCUCUUAAGCCUCCAUGUCUGCAUCUUCACUGAGGGUCAUCAUCUCACCACCUGCAUGAGCGUUGUUGUGAAGAUUAAGUCGGGUACUAUGAUACAGGGACAACCUUCAUAGGAGAAGAAUGGUUUCUCCUUUUUCACUUUUUUUCAAGUACUAGGAUCUCUUCUGCCUUAGAUGUCUAAUAAAGUACAAAUAGCCCAGUAUUUUUCUUUACUUUGUCCAAAGAAAUGUGGUCAAAUCUAAAUGAGAAAGCCUGGUAGCCUGUUCCAUUUGUUCUCGAUCAUAAUUCCAAAGAUGUUAUCUAAGAAGGAUUUUUACUAAUUCUUUAGACACCAUGGAUUUAUUUCCAUAUUAUUUUCAGCUAGAGGGUUUCAGGUUAAAGCAAGAAACAAAUAAACAAAAAGAAAACAGUUUGCUCAGACUAUGAUUUUCAAAGAUGAAUAACAUUAUUUCCCCCAUUCACACACACAAAAAAAUGACAAGUCAUCCAGAAGAGAAAGCAGACAUGUUCACUUACAGAGGCAUGAAUUUUAUUCAUCCUCUUGAAAACUUCUUUCUGCACCAAAGUGAUUCCAAACUCUGCUCCCUACAUCUUAGCCAAUCAGAGAGACCUCGUUAAGCUCAUGAAACAUAAGGUUUUAAUUUACAAGGGAUCAUCUAUAUUUCUUUCCCAGGGCCUC